rnacentral:rRNA from 1 species
UACGUAGGGGGCAAGCGUUGUCCGGAUUUAUUGGGCGUAAAGAGCGUGUAGGCGGCCAAGCAGGUCAGCUGUGAAAACUCGAGGCUCAACCUCGAGACGUCGGUUGAAACCGCUUGGCUAGAGUCCGGAAGAGGAGAGUGGAAUUCCCGGUGUAGCGGUGAAAUGCGCAGAUAUCAGGAGGAACACCCGUGGCGAAAGCGGCUCUCUGGGACGGUACUGACGCUGAGACGCGAAAGCGUGGGGAGCAAACAGG